UGAGGAAUUUUCCACAAUGGGCGAAAGCCUGAUGGAGCAAUACCGCGUGGAGGAAGACGGACCGUGGUUCUUAAACUCCUUUUCCUAGAGAAGAAAAAAAUGACGGUAUCUAGGGAAUAAGCACCGGCUAACUAUGUGCCAGCAGCCGCGGUAAUACAUAGGGUGCAAGCGUUAUCCGGAAUGAUUGGGCGUAAAGCGUCUGUAGGUGGUCUGAAAAGUCUAUUGUCAAAUACGUUGGCUCAACCAACGGCAGGCAUUAGAGUACUAUUGGACUAGAGUUUGGUAGAGGUAGAGGGAAUCCCUAGCGUAACAGUGAAAUGUGUAGAUUUUAGGGGGAACACCAGAGGCGAAGGCGCUCUACUGGGCCAUAACUGACACUGAGAGACGAAAGCUAAGGGAG
rnacentral:rRNA from 1 species